AGCAGCCGCGGUAAUUCCAGCUCCAAUAGCGUAUAUUAAAGUUGUUGCAGUUAAAAAGCUCGUAGUUGAAUUUCGGGGUCAGUAGGUCGGUCGUGCCACUGGUAUGAACUGGUUUUACUGAUUCCUCCCUCUUGAAGAACUGUAAUGCCAUUAAUUUGGUGUUGCAGGGAAUCAGGACUGUUACUUUGAAAAAUUAGAGUGUUUAAAGCAAGCUAACGCUUAAAUACAUUAGCAUGGAAUAAUGAAAUAGGACGUUCGAUCCUAUUUUGUUGGUUUCUAGGAUUGACGUAAUGAUUAAUAGGGAUAGUUGGGGGCAUUAGUAUUCAAUUGUCAGAGGUGAAAUUCUGGAUUUAUUGAAGACUAACUACUGCGAAAGC
rnacentral:rRNA from 1 species